CUUCCUUUACCUUUAUUGUUCCUUCCAAGCACAAUUCUCUCUAUCUGGUUUUCUGUACAGCUGUGGUCACACAGUUAAACUAAGUACAAUGUUCAAGUUGGUUAAGACAUCCAAAAUUCAAUGGCUCUGCUAGUGCACUCAUGUAUUCCCAGCUACUCAGGAAGCUGAGGGGCAAGUGUUGUUUGAAUCGUGGGGUUCAAGACUACAGUUAAGGAUGAAAGGCAACUCAUUGAGAUCCUGUUUCAAAACAAAGGUGGGCACACUUGCACACUCCUCUAAUCAAUGUGCAAUGAGAGACAGGUAGAAAAUGGCAAAGUUGAGCCAUGCCAGGAAACAUAGUAGGACAGUAAGAAGCUGUUUCCAACGAGAAACCAAAAGAGGACUGGAGAUGUAGAUCAGCAUGAAAACUCUUGGGUUCAGUCUCAGUAAUGGAAACAAACCAAAACUUCCAACUGUCUGCAUCCUUCCCUGAUCUGCCACCUUCUGGAUUCCAAGAGUAGCUUCAUCAAGUCCCAUUAUGACACAACAUUCUGGAUUCCAAUACCUUGUAUCCACCUCCCUUUACCUAAAGUUCUUUGGGGUCAACUGUUGAUGGCUGGUUCUUGAGAAAUUAUGCAUGCAUUCUUAAAGCAGUCCCUUCAGUGCUUUUCAUACUGCAAGUGCUCUCUGUGACAGCAUUGAGUUUAUGAGGGAUUCUAUAUGGCCUUUGUCUACAGAUAAAGCUGCCACUUAUUCCUUCACUCACUUGUUCAACAAAACUUUUUGUGGUACAUCCUCUCCAGGGAUUGUAAAGCAAUGGGAACAGACAUGUAGGGAACAGUGGAAUUCAUGUACCCUAUCAGGUCCUCAGAUGUAACGGAUGGAGCAACACAGGCCUUCCAUGGGGCAGAAGUGAUGGUCAGUGGAAGGAGCACAAGUCCUGCAACAGCAUGUGAGGUGUGGGCCUCCACUGAGAGGUUGAUAUUUUCAUCAAGCACUGUACAGCCAGCCCCAGACUUACAGUUGUUUCACUUGCUGUUCUCUACUUUAUGAUGAAGUAAAAGAGGUAAACAUUACAUCUAAAUGGCACUUUGAAUUGUCAUCUUUUGCUAGGCUGUGCUAAAACACGG
rnacentral:lncRNA from 1 species